rnacentral:rRNA from 1 species
UUCGGUCUGCUACCUCUUACCCAUGUCUUUUAAGUACCUUCGUUUCCUCGGCGGGUCCGCCCGCCGAUUGGACAACAUUCAAACCCUUUGCAGUUGCAAUCAGCGUCUGAAAAAACAUAAUAGUUACAACUUUCAACAACGGAUCUCUUGGUUCUGGCAUCGAUGAAGAACGCAGCGAAAUGCGAUAAGUAGUGUGAAUUGCAGAAUUCAGUGAAUCAUCGAAUCUUUGAACGCACAUUGCGCCCCUUGGUAUUCCAUGGGGCAUGCCUGUUCGAGCGUCAUUUGUACCUUCAAGCUCUGCUUGGUGUUGGGUGUUUUGUCUCGCCUCUGCGUGUAGACUCGCCUUAAAACAAUUGGCAGCCGGCGUAUUGAUUUCGGAGCGCAGUACAUCUCGCGCUUUGCACUCAUAACGGCGACGUCCAAAAGUACAUUUUUACACUCUUGACCUCGGAUCAGGUAGGGAUACCCGCUGAACUUAAGCAUAUCAAUAAGCGGAGGAAA